CAUGCUGUAANCGGUGGGCGCUAGGUGUGGGCUGUGUGUUUGCAGUCUGUGCCGUAGCUAACGCAUUAAGCGCCCCGCCUGGGGAGUACGGCCGCAAGGCUAAAACUCAAAGGAAUUGACGGGGGCCCGCACAAGCGGCGGAGCAUGUGGAUUAAUUCGAUGCAACGCGAAGAACCUUACCUGGGUUUGACAUGCACCAGAUCGGCGUAGAGAUACGUCCUCCCUUGUGGUUGGUGCACAGGUGGUGCAUGGUUGUCGUCAGCUCGUGUCGUGAGAUGUUGGGUUAAGUCCCGCAACGAGCGCAACCCUUGUCUUAUGUUGCCAGCACAUUUUUGGUGGGGACUCAUGAGAAACUGCCGGGGUCAACUCGGAGGAAGGUGGGGAUGACGUCAAAUCAUCAUGCCCUUUAUACCCAGGGCUUCACACAUGCUACAAUGGUCGGUACAACGGGUUGCGACACUGUGAAGUGAAGCUAAUCUCUUAAAGCCGGCCUCAGUUCGGAUUGGGGUCUGCAACUCGACCCCAUGAAGUCGGAGUCGCUAGUAAUCGCAGAUCAGCAACGCUGCGGUGAAUACGUUCCCGGGCCUUGUACACACCGCCCGACACGUCAUGAAAGUUGGUAACACCCGAAGCCCAUGGCCU
rnacentral:rRNA from 1 species